rnacentral:tRNA from 1 species
AGGUUGUUAGUUUAAAAAAAACUCUUGAUUUCGACUCAAAAACUUGUGGUUAAAGCCCACAACCGCCUA